rnacentral:rRNA from 1 species
GGGCCCGCACAAGCGGUGGAGCAUGUGGUUUAAUUCGAUGAUACGCGAGGAACCUUACCAGGGCUUAAAUGUAGUGGGACAGGUCUAGAGAUAGACCCUUCUUCGGACUCAUUACAAGGUGCUGCAUGGUUGUCGUCAGCUCGUGCCGUGAGGUGUCAGGUUAAGUCCUAUAACGAGCGCAACCCCUAUCGUUAGUUGCCAGCGAGUAAUGUCGGGAACUCUAACGAAACUGCCAGUGCAAACUGUGAGGAAGGUGGGGAUGACGUCAAAUCAUCACGGCCCUUACGUCCUGGGCUACACACGUGCUACAAUGGUCGGUACAGAGAGCAGCCACUACGCGAGUAGGAGCAAAUCUUCAAAGCCGAUCUCAGUUCGGAUAGGAGUCUGCAACUCGACUCCUUGAAGUUGGAGUCGCUAGUAA